AGAGCCUUUGUUUUUUCUUGAUGUGUGUACUGUUUCUGCAGAUUGGUUUUCAAGAAAAAUAGUUAAAAGUUUGAGACUUUUGCUGAAUUGAACUUAGCAAGUAUUCUGAUUUGAGCUUUCUGUUUUUAUUGCGUCUCCCUUUGUUGUCUACUUUUUUAUGAGUUGAUGAAAGAGUUAACUCCUAAUUUUGCUUAUUAGAUUUGCAUAUGGCUCAAAGUUUUUUUUGAAUAUACUUUUGUGUUGUUGCUUACAUUUAUUACUAUGUUGUAACAUUAUUCUUGUAGUUUGUGCUUUUUUGAAAGAAAAUAUUUUAUUUAUAAACUCAACUAAUUCUCCUUUAUUCUCUUUACAUUACAAUUCUACUGUUAUUUUCCUUACAUCAAAUAUGUGACAAAAGCAUCCUAUUUAUAGCACAAGAAUAAAAUUAAAUUAAACUAGGACUAGAAAAUUAUUCCCAUAUGAACUAGGACAAAUGAAUCCUAAUUCUAAUUAGACAUGGAUUAAAUAAAUAUUAAAAAUGUUAAAUCCUAAACAAAUAAGGACUCCUACUCCAACUUUGAAUUAUUAUUUCCAACAUUCUCCCUUAAUUCAAAGUUGUAUACUCUGGUCUUUUCUUGUCAUUGUUGUUGUAUUGUAACACUUCUCUCCAACCUUCAAACUUAUAUACUCUAGACCUUUUCUUGUCGUCAUUGUAGUAUUGGAGAAUUUCUUUCCAUUCUUCAAUUUCUUGGUUUAAUUCCAAUAUAGCCUUCCUUAAAUCAAAAUUUUUAAACUUGAGCAUGUCUUGAAUAAUAUCAUGUCUUUGUAGAAGUCAAGUACCUUAGACUUUUCAUCAAUUUCCUAAAAUAUGUAGCGUCAACAAAAUUAUGGAUGUGAUCUUUAGUCAGCUUCUGUUUCACUUCAAUGCGAUCCAAUGUCAAUAUAUCUACGUUUGUCAAUAUAUCAUUGGUCAGACGUGCUAGACUGGUGGUAUAUAUGGUUUAUAGCUGCCCGCCGAUAGCGAAAACUUUUGAUUCUCCACCAAGAUCGUAUAGGCUCUGAUGCCAAUUUGAAGGAAUUGAUGAGAUCGUAUGGUUUCUUGCUCCACCUCGUACCCACUUUUUACAUAAAAACAUGGACAAAAUCUGCAGGCUCUGCCAUAGCCAUAUAUCUACCAUCGGAUGUGUAGCAGUUGCAAAGGUUAGGCCAUCAGGAUGCCAUGCUGGUGCGAAUGAGUAGUCCACAUGUCCACACAAAGGAGCAACAUCCUUUCCGUUCCUGGAAUCAACCAAUAUACCUUCAGGAUGAUCCCCAACUUCUAUGAGAAGUUUGCCAUCAGGGCUGAGUGAUGUAUGAUUAACUAACCAGGGAAACGGAAAUGGUCAGACAGUUGAAAUUUCUCCAAAUCGAAAUCUCUAACUCCACAAUCAUUAUUUGAAGCUAUAAAAUGAAGUGCACCACUGCGAUGUUGUUAAUCGCACUAGCAGUGGUAAUGGCAUUAUCUUCAUAUGUUGUCCAAGAACAAAAGCAAACUCCAGGCUUAUCUAAAUGUCCAAGAACAAGAGCAAACUCCAGGCUUAUCUAAAUAAUUGCAGAUACGUUCUCCUCGUAGUUCACCAGCAACAAGCAACUUAUCUUUCACACCAAUAGUGCUUACUUGGGUCUGCAUGAAUCCCUCUAAAAGGCUUUCAGGAUGUUUCUCACGUGUGCUACAUGCCCAGAUAAAUUGAGAACUUACCGUACUCGCGCAGGUCAAUGAUGACCAAUGAAUGACAGAAAAAUGUGACAUAAGGUACGCAUCAUGCUUAGAAGUUGCCCAGACCAAAUUCCUCAGCUGGAAGUGGAAGAUCGUUCAUUUAACAGAUCUUGAAUUACGUCUGAAAUCAUAGUAUAAACCUUCUUUCUUUGUGGUUUUGCACUCUAAUAUCUCACCAGAUUGAGGAAUACUUUCAUAAUUCUUAUAUUGUUC